GAUGAACGCUGGCGGCGUGCCUAAUACAUGCAAGUCGAGCGAACAGACGAGGAGCUUGCUCCUCUGACGUUAGCGGCCGACGGGUGAGUAACACGUGGAUAACCUACCUAUAAGACUGGGAUAACUUCGGGAAACCGGAGCUAAUACCGGAUAAUAUAUUGAACCGCAUGGUUCAAUAGUGAAAGACGGUUUUGCUGUCACUUAUAGAUGGAUCCGCGCCGCAUUAGCUAGUUGGUAAGGUAACGGCUUACCAAGGCGACGAUGCGUAGCCGACCUGAGAGGGUGAUCGGCCACACUGGAACUGAGACACGGUCCAGACUCCUACGGGAGGCAGCAGUAGGGAAUCUUCCGCAAUGGGCGAAAGCCUGACGGAGCAACGCCGCGUGAGUGAUGAAGGUCUUCGGAUCGUAAAACUCUGUUAUUAGGGAAGAACAAAUGUGUAAGUAACUAUGCACGUCUUGACGGUACCUAAUCAGAAAGCCACGGCUAACUACGUG
rnacentral:rRNA from 1 species